rnacentral:rRNA from 1 species
GUGGGGAAUCUUGCGCAAUGGGCGAAAGCCUGACGCAGCCAUGCCGCGUGAAUGAUGAAGGUCUUAGGAUUGUAAAAUUCUUUCACCGGGGACGAUAAUGACGGUACCCGGAGAAGAAGCCCCGGCUAACUUCGUGCCAGCAGCCGCGGUAAUACGAAGGGGGCUAGCGUUGCUCGGAAUUACUGGGCGUAAAGGGCGCGUAGGCGGACAGUUUAGUCAGAGGUGAAAGCCCAGGGCUCAACCUUGGAAUUGCCUUUGAUACUGGCUGUCUUGAGUACGGGAGAGGUGAGUGGAACGCCGAGUGUAGAGGUGAAAUUCGUAGAUAUUCGGAAGAACACCAGUGGCGAAGGCGACUCACUGGCCCGUUACUGACGCUGAGGCGCGAAAGCGUGGGGAGCAAACAGGAUUAGAAACCCCGGUAGUCC